rnacentral:rRNA from 1 species
AGUGAACGCUGGCGGUAGGCCUAACACAUGCAAGUCGAACGGCAGCACAGUAAGAGCUUGCUCUUACGGGUGGCGAGUGGCGGACGGGUGCGUAAUACAUCGGAAUCUACUUUUUCGUGGGGGAUAACGUAGGGAAACUUACGCUAAUACCGCAUACGACCUACGGGUGAAAGCAGGGGAUCUUCGGACCUUGCGCGAUUGAAUGAGCCGAUGUCGGAUUAGCUAGUUGGCGGGGUAAAGGCCCACCAAGGCGACGAUCCGUAGCUGGUCUGAGAGGAUGAUCAGCCAGACUGGAACUGAGACACGGCCCAGACUCCUACGGGAGGCAGCAGUGGGGAAUAUUGGACGAUGGGCGCAAGCCUGAUCCAGCCAUACCGCGUGGGUGAAGAAGGCCUUCGGGUUGUAAAGCCCUGUUGUUGGGAAAGAAGAGCAGCAGUUUUAUACCCCGCUGUUCUGACGGUACCCAAAGAAUAAGCACCGGCUAACUUCGUG